GAGUUUGAUCCUGGCUCAGAUUGAACGCUGGCGGCAGGCCUAACACAUGCAAGUCGAGCGAACCUAGCUUGCUAGGUGAGCGGCGAACGGGUGAGUAACGCGUAGGAAUCUGCCUGGUAGUGGGGGACAACGUUCCGAAAGGAACGCUAAUACCGCAUACGCCCUACGGGGGAAAGUGGGGGACCUUCGGGCCUCACGCUAUCAGAGGAGCCUGCGUCGGAUUAGCUAGUUGGUGGGGUAAAGGCCUACCAAGGCGACGAUCCGUAGCUGGUCUGAGAGGAUGAUCAGCCACACCGGAACUGAGACACGGUCCGGACUCCUACGGGAGGCAGCAGUGGGGAAUAUUGGACAAUGGGGGCAACCCUGAUCCAGCCAUGCCGCGUGUGUGAAGAAGGCCUUCGGGUUGUAAAGCA
rnacentral:rRNA from 1 species